rnacentral:tRNA from 1 species
GUUUGUUAUUGUNUAGAGGCCUAGGACACCGCCCUUUCACGGCGGUAACAGGGGUUCGAAUCCCCUAGGGGACGCCA